CAUCCAACGCGUUGGGAGCUCUCCCAUAUGGUCGACCUGCAGGCGGCCGCGAAUUCACUAGUGAUUCGUAUUACCGCGGCUGCUGGCACAGAGUUAGCCGGUGCUUAUUCUGUCGGUAACGUCAAAACAGCAAAGUAUUAAUUUACUGCCCUUCCUCCCAACUUAAAGUGCUUUACAAUCCGAAGACCUUCUUCACACACGCGGCAUGGCUGGAUCAGGCUUUCGCCCAUUGUCCAAUAUUCCCCACUGCUGCCUCCCGUAGGAGUCUGGACCGUGUCUCAGUUCCAGUGUGACUGAUCAUCCUCUCAGACCAGUUACGGAUCGUCGCCUUGGUGAGCCAUUACCCCACCAACUAGCUAAUCCGACCUAGGCUCAUCUGAUAGCGCAAGGCCCGAAGGUCCCCUGCUUUCUCCCGUAGGACGUAUGCGGUAUUAGCGUCCGUUUCCGAACGUUAUCCCCCACUACCAGGCAGAUUCCUAGGCAUUACUCACCCGUCCGCCGCUCUCAAGAGAAGCAAGCUUCUCUCUACCGCUCGACUUGCAUGUGUUAGGCCUGCCGCCAGCGUUCAAUCUGAGCCAUGAUCAAACUCUAAUCGAAUUCCCGCGGCCGCCAUGGCGGCCGGGAGCAUGCGAC
rnacentral:rRNA from 1 species